UACGUAGGGUGCAAGCGUUAAUCGGAAUUACUGGGCGUAAAGCGUGCGCAGGCGGCUUUGCAAGACAGAUGUGAAAUCCCCGGGCUUAACCUGGGAACUGCAUUUGUGACUGCAUGGCUGGAGUGCGGCAGAGGGGGAUGGAAUUCCGCGUGUAGCAGUGAAAUGCGUAGAUAUGCGGAGGAACACCGAUGGCGAAGGCAAUCCCCUGGGCCUGUACUGACGCUCAUGCACGAAAGCGUGGGGAGCGAACAGG
rnacentral:rRNA from 1 species